rnacentral:rRNA from 1 species
AAGCCGGAGGAAGGUGGGGAUGACGUCAAGUCCUCAUGGCCCUUAUAGGUGGGGCUACACACGUCAUACAAUGGCUGGUACAAAGGGUUGCCAACCCGCGAGGGGAGCUAAUCCCAUAAAGCCAGUCGUAGUCCGGAUCGUAGUCUGCAACUCGACUACGUGAAGUCGGAAUCGCUAGUAAUCGUGGAUCAGAAUGUCACGGUGAAUACGUUCCCGGGUCUU